rnacentral:misc_RNA from 1 species
GAUGAAGAACGUAGCGAAAUGCGAUAAGUAAUGUGAAUUGCAGAAUUCAGUGAAUCAUCGAAUCUUUGAACGCACAUUGCGCCCGCUGGUAUUCCGGCGGGCAUGCCUGUUCGAGCGUCAUUUCAACCCUCAAGCUCUCCGGAGUUUGGUGUUGGGGCGCCUGGGGCUUUUCGACCUCAGGGCCCUCAAGUCCAUCGGCGGGACCGCCAGGACACUGAGCGCAGUAGUAUUAUUUCGCUCGGUAGGAUCUUCCACGGCGGGUCGAUCUGGCCGCUAAACCCCCCAAUUCUCACCAACGGUUGACCUCGGAUCAGGUAGGAAUACCCGCUGAACUUAAGCAUAUCAAUAAGCGGAGGA